rnacentral:rRNA from 1 species
UACGGAGGAUGCAAGCGUUAUCCGGAAUUAUUGGGCGUAAAGCGUCCGCAGGCGGCCCUUCAAGUCUGUCGUCAAAGACCGGGGCUUAACCCUGGAAAGGCGAUGGAAACUGAAAGGCUAGAGAGAGGUAGGGGUAGAGGGAAUUCCCAGUGUAGCGGUGAAAUGCGUAGAUAUCGAGAGGAACACCUGCGGCGAAGGCGGGUUGCUGGGCUGAUACUGACGCUGAGGCGCGAAAGCGUGGGGAGCAAACAGG